rnacentral:rRNA from 1 species
CCUACGGGAGGCAGCAGUGAGGAAUAUUGGUCAAUGGCCGGAAGCCUGAACCAGCCAUGCCGCGUGAAGGUCAGUGCCCUUUGGGCGUUUAACUUCUUUUGUGCGGGAGCAAUAAUGGUCACGUGUGGCCAGACGAGAGUACCGUACGAAUAAGCAUCGGCUAACUCCGUGCCAGCAGCCGCGGUAAUACGGGGGAUGCAAGCGUUUUCCGGAUUUAUUGGGUUUAAAGGGGGCGUAGGCUGUGAGGUAAGUCAGCGGUGAAAUGCACCCGCUCAACGGGGUGAAGUGCCAUUGAUACUGCCUGGCUGGAAUGCGGAUGCCGUGGGAGGAAUGUGUGGUGUAGCGGUGAAAGGCAUAGAGAUCACACAGAACACCGAUUGCGAAGGCAUCUCACGAAUCCGCGAUUGACGCUGAUCCACGAAAGCGUGGGUAUCAAACAGGAUUAGAUACCCUUGUAGUC